AACGAACGCUGGCGGCAUGCCUAACACAUGCAAGUCGAACGAGACCUUCGGGUCUAGUGGCGCACGGGUGCGUAACGCGUGGGAACUUGCCCUUAGGUUCGGAAUAACUCCCCGAAAGGGGUGCUAAUACCGGAUAAUGUCUUCGGACCAAAGAUUUAUCGCCUUUGGAUGGGCCCGCGUUGGAUUAGCUAGUUGGUAGGGUAAAAGCCUACCAAGGCGACGAUCCAUAGCUGGUCGGAGAGGAUGAUCAGCCACACUGGGACUGAGACACGGCCCAGACUCCUACGGGAGGCAGCAGUGGGGAAUAUUGGACAAUGGGCGAAAGCCUGAUCCAGCAAUGCCGCGUGAGUGAUGAAGGCCUUAGGGUUGUAAAGCUCUUUUACCCGGGAUGAUAAUGACAGUACCGGGAGAAUAAGCUCCGGCUAACUCCGUG
rnacentral:rRNA from 1 species